rnacentral:rRNA from 1 species
UCAAGUGAACAAGCGCAUAUGGUGGAUGCCUAGGCGGUAGGAGGCGACGAAGGGCGUAGUAGCCUGCGAAAAGCCACGGGGAGCCGGCAAACAGGCAUUGAUCCGUGGAUACCCGAAUGGGGAAACCCAGCCACCGUGAGGUGGUUAUCCGACACUGAAUCCAUAGGUGACGGAAGCGAACCCGGAGAACUGAAACAUCUAAGUACCCGGAGGAAAAGAGAUCAACCGACAUUCCCUCAGUAGCGGCGAGCGAACGGGGAGGAGCCCAAAAGCGACAUUGGUUUUAGUGGAACGGACUGGAAAGUCCGGCCAUAGCGGGUGAUAGCCCCGUACACGAAAGGGCCAGCGUCGUGAAAGUGAGUAAGGCGGGACACGUGUUAUCCUGUCUGAAGAUGGGGGGACCAUCCUCCAAGGCUAAAUACUACCUACCGACCGAUAGUGAACCAGUACCGUGAGGGAAAGGCGAAAAGAACCCCGGUGAGGGGAGUGAAAUAGAACCUGAAACCGUAUGCGUACAAGCAGUGGGAGCCCCUUUAGGGGUGACUGCGUACCUUUUGUAUAAUGGGUCAGCGACUUACAUCUCAGUGGCGAGCUUAACCAGAUAGGGGAGGCGUAGCGAAAGCGAGUCUUAACAGGGCGAAUUAGUCGCUGGGAGUAGACCCGAAACCGGGCGAUCUACCCAUGGCCAGGGUGAAGGCGUGGUAAUGCGCGCUGGAGGCCCGAACCGGGAGCUGUUGAAAAAGCUUCGGAUGAGCUGUGGGUAGGAGUGAAAGGCUAAUCAAGCCCGGAGAUAGCUGGUUCUCCCCGAAAGCUAUUUAGGUAGUGCCUUGCGUCUCACUCUCGGGGGUAGAGCACUGUUUCGGCUAGGGGGCCAUCCCGGCUUACCAAACCGAGGCAAACUCCGAAUACCGGGAAGUGCAAUCGCGGGAGACAGACGGCGGGUGCUAACGUCCGUCGUCGAGAGGGAAACAACCCAGACCGUCGGCUAAGGUCCCUAAAUUGCGGCUUAGUGGGAAACGAUGUGGGAAGGCAUAGACAGCCAGGAGGUUGGCUUAGAAGCAGCCAUCCUUUAAAGAAAGCGUAAUAGCUCACUGGUCGAGUCGGCCUGCGCGGAAGAUUCAACGGGGCUCAAGCCAUGUACCGAAGCUGCGGAUGCGUCGCAAGACGCAUGGUAGGGGAGCGUUCCGUAGGCCUGCGAAGGUGUGCUGUAAGGCAUGCUGGAGGUAUCGGAAGUGCGAAUGCUGACAUGAGUAACGAUAAUGGGGGUGAGAAGCCCCCACGCCGAAAGCCCAAGGUUUCCUGCGCAACGUUAAUCGGCGCAGGGUUAGUCGGCCCCUAAGGCGAGGCCGAAAGGCGUAGUCGAUGGGAAGCAGGUUAAUAUUCCUGCACCAACUGUUACUGCGAUGGGGGGACGGAGAAGGCUAGGUCAUCCGGGCGAUGGUUGUCCCGGUAUAAGCGUGUAGGGAGGCGCUCCAGGCAAAUCCGGAGCGUCAAUUCCGAGACGUGAUGUCGAGUCUCCACGGAGACGAAGUGAUUGAUGCCAAGCUUCCAGGAAAAGCCUCUAAGCUUCAGGUAACAGGUGACCGUACCCCAAACCGACACAGGUGGGCUGGGAGAGAAUCCCAAGGCGCUUGAGAGAACUCGGGUGAAGGAACUAGGCAAAAUAGUACCGUAACUUCGGGAGAAGGUACGCCCCUGGUAGGUGAAGGUCCAGGCGACCGGAGCUGACGGGGGUUGCAGUGACCAGGUGGCUGCGACUGUUUAUCAAAAACACAGCACUCUGCAAACACAAACGUGGAAGUAUAGGGUGUGACGCCUGCCCGGUGCCGGAAGGUUAAUUGAUGGGGUCAGCCGCAAGGCGAAGCUCUUGAUCGAAGCCCCGGUAAACGGCGGCCGUAACUAUAACGGUCCUAAGGUAGCGAAAUUCCUUGUCGG